rnacentral:rRNA from 1 species
UGGGGAAUUUUGGACAAUGGGCGCAAGCCUGAUCCAGCCAUUCCGCGUGAGUGAAGAAGGCCUUCGGGUUGUAAAGCUCUUUCGCAAGGGAAGAAAACUUAUCCUCUAACAUAUGGUGAGGCUGACGGUACCUUGAUAAGAAGCACCGGCUAACUACGUGCCAGCAGCCGCGGUAAUACGUAGGGUGCGAGCGUUAAUCGGAAUUACUGGGCGUAAAGCGUGCGCAGGCGGUUUUGUAAGUCAGAUGUGAAAGCCCCGGGCUCAACCUGGGAACUGCGUUUGAAACUGCAAGGCUAGAGUAUGGCAGAGGGGGGUAGAAUUCCACGUGUAGCAGUGAAAUGCGUAGAGAUGUGGAGGAAUACCAAUGGCGAAGGCAGCCCCCUGGGUCAAUACUGACGCUCAGGCACGAAAGCGUGGGGAGCAAACAG